rnacentral:rRNA from 1 species
UACGUAGGGUGCAAGCGUUGUCCGGAAUUAUUGGGCGUAAAGAGCUCGUAGGCGGUCUGUUGCGUCGGCUGUGAAAACCCGGGGCUCAACCCCGGGCCUGCAGCCGAUACGGGCAGGCUAGAGUUCGGCAGGGGAGACUGGAAUUCCUGGUGUAGCGGUGAAAUGCGCAGAUAUCAGGAGGAACACCGGUGGCGAAGGCGGGUCUCUGGGCCGAUACUGACACUGAGGAGCGAAAGCGUGGGGAGCGAACAGG